GUGUCAGCAGCCGCGGUAAUACGUAGGGGGCGAGCGUUGUCCGGAUUUAUUGGGCGUAAAGGGAGUGUAGGCGGUCUUUUAAGUCUGAUGUGAAAGCCCACGGCUCAACCGUGGAGGGUCAUUGGAAACUGGGAGACUUGAGUGCAGAAGAGGAGAGCGGAAUUCCAUGUGUAGCGGUGAAAUGCGUAGAUAUAUGGAGGAACACCAGUGGCGAAGGCGGCUCUCUGGUCUGUAACUGACGCUGAGGCUCGAAGCGUGGGGAGCAAACAGGAUUAGAAACCCUGGUAGUCC
rnacentral:rRNA from 1 species